UCACCUCCACAGGCUGCCGGCGACCCCCAGGCUGAGCUGGGCGAGUAUCUCUUCUACAGGCUCACCCUCAGGCACGACUAGGAGC
rnacentral:pre_miRNA from 1 species